GACGAACGCUGGCGGCGUGCCUAAUACAUGCAAGUAGAACGCUCAAGGAGGAGCUUGCUUCUCUGGAUGAGUUGCGAACGGGUGAGUAACGCGUAGGUAACCUGCCUGGUAGCGGGGGAUAACUAUUGGAAACGAUAGCUAAUACCGCAUAAUAGUAGAUGUUGCAUGACAUUCGCCUAUAAGGUGCAAUUGCAUCACUACCAGAUGGUCCUGCGUUGUAUUAACUAGUUGGUGGGGUAACGGCUCACCAAAGAGACGAUACUUAGUCGACCUGAGAGGGGGAUCGGCCAACAUGGGACCGAGAAACGGCCCAGGCCCCCACCGGAAGGAGCAGUAGGGGAUCUUCGGGAAUGGAGGGAAGGCUGAACGAGCAAAGCCGCGGGGGGGAAGGAGGGUCUCGGAUCGGAAAGCUCUGUUGUAAGGGAAGAACGAGUGUGGGAGUGGAAAGUUCACACUGUGACGGUAUCUAACCAGAAAGCGACGGCUAACUACGUG
rnacentral:rRNA from 1 species